rnacentral:rRNA from 1 species
GGCGUACGAGGUGCUGCAGUGGCUGUCGUCAGCUCGUGCUGUAGAAGUGGUUGGGUUAACGUCCCGCAACGAGCGACCAACCCUGCUGUCUGUUCGCCACCACGAGGAGGGUGGGACUCGAGGACGGAACUCGCCGGUGACAAACCGGAGGAAGGUGGGGACGACGUCAAGUCAUCAUGGCCCUUAUGUCCUGGGCUACACACGUGCUACAAUGGCCGGUACAGAGCGCAGCGAGGCCGCGAGGCGGAGCGAAUCGCUUAAAGCCGGUCCCAGUACGGAUUGGAGUCUGCAACCCGACUCCAUGAAGUUGGAAUCGCUAGUAAUCGCGCAUCAGCAUGGCGCGGUGAAUACGUUCCCGGGCCUU